rnacentral:tRNA from 1 species
GGUGUCAUAGCUCAGUUGGUAGAGCAAAGGNNUGUGUCCCUGGUUCGAUUCCCGGUGACACCA